rnacentral:rRNA from 1 species
CAACAGGUGGAGCCUGCGGUUUAAUCGGACUCAACGCCGGGAAACUCACCAGAUAAGACAGCUGAAUGAUAGUCGGGCUGAAGACUCUACUUGACUAGCUGAGAGGAGGUGCAUGGCCGUCGUCAGUUCGUACUGUGAAGCAUCCUGUUAAGUCAGGCAACGAGCGAGACCCACGCCAACAGUUGCCAGCUCGUCCUCCGGGAUGGUGGGGACACUGUUGGGACCGCCUCUGCUAAAGAGGAGGAAGGAAUGGGCAACGGUAGGUCAGCAUGCCCCGAAUUAUCUGGGCUACACGCGGGCUACAAUGGGUGGGACAAUGGGUAUCGACACCGAAAGGUGAAGGCAAUCUCCUAAACCCAUCCGUAGUUCGGAUUGUGGGCUGCAACUCGCCCACAUGAAGCUGGAAUCUGUAGUAAUCGUGUCUCAAAAUGGCACGGUGAAUAUGUCCCUGCUCCUU